GAUGAACGCUGGCGGCGUGCUUAACACAUGCAAGUCGAACGGAAAGGCCUCUGCUUGCAGGGGGACUCGAGUGGCGAACGGGUGAGUAACACGUGGGUGAUCUGCCCUGCACUUCGGGAUAAGCCUGGGAAACUGGGUCUAAUACCGGAUAGGACAAUGGUUUGGAUGCUGUUGUGGAAAGUUUUUCGGUGUGGGAUGAGCUCGCGGCCUAUCAGCUUGUUGGUGGGGUAAUGGCCUACCAAGGCGUCGACGGGUAGCCGGCCUGCGAGGGUGUACGGACAGACUAGAACCGAGCUGCGGCCCAGACUCGUACGGGAGGCAGCAGGGGGGAAUAUUGGACAAUGGGCGCAAGCCUGAGGCAGCGACGCCGUGUGGUGGAUGAGGGCCUUUGGGUUGUAAACUCCUCUCGCUAGGGACGAAGCCGUUUUGUGACGGUACCUGGAGAAGAAGCACCGGCUAACUACGUG
rnacentral:rRNA from 1 species